GACGAACGCUGGCGGCGUGCUUAACACAUGCAAGUCGAACGGAAAGGCCCUGCUUUUGUGGGGUGCUCGAGUGGCGAACGGGUGAGUAACACGUGAGUAACCUGCCCUUGACUUUGGGAUAACCUCAGGAAACUGGGGCUAAUACCGGAUAGGAGCUCCUGCUGCAUGGUGGGGGUUGGAAAGUUUCGGCGGUUGGGGAUGGACUCGCGGCUUAUCAGCUUGUUGGUGGGGUAGUGGCUUACCAAGGCUUUGACGGGUAGCCGGCCUGAGAGGGUGACCGGCCACAUUGGGACUGAGAUACGGCCCAGACUCCUACGGGAGGCAGCAGUGGGGAAUAUUGCACAAUGGGCGGAAGCCUGAUGCAGCAACGCCGCGUGCGGGAUGACGGCCUUCGGGUUGUAAACCGCUUUCGCCUGUGACGAAGCGUGAGUGACGGUAAUGGGUAAAGAAGCACCGGCUAACUACGUGCCAGCAGCCGCGGUGAUACGUAGGGUGCGAGCGUUGUCCGGAUUUAUUGGGCGUAAAGGGCUCGUAGGUGGUUGAUCGCGUCGGAAGUGUAAUCUUGGGGCUUAACCCUGAGCGUGCUUUCGAUACGGGUUGACUUGAGGAAGGUAGGGGAGAAUGGAAUUCCUGGUGGAGCGGUGGAAUGCGCAGAUAUCAGGAGGAACACCAGUGGCGAAGGCGGUUCUCUGGGCCUUUCCUGACGCUGAGGAGCGAAAGCGUGGGGAGCGAACAGGCUUAGAUACCCUGGUAGUCCACGCUGUAAACGGUGGGUACUAGGUGUGGGGUCCAUUCCACGGGUUCCGUGCCGUAGCUAACGCUUUAAGUGCCCCGCCUGGGGAGUACGGCCGCAAGGCUAAAACUCAAAGGAAUUGACGGGGCCCCGCACAAGCGGCGGAGCAUGCGGAUUAAUUCGAUGCAACGCGUAGAACCUUACCUGGGUUUGACAUGGAUCGGGAGUGCUCAGAGAUGGGUGUGCCUCUUUUGGGGUCGGUUCACAGGUGGUGCAUGGCUGUCGUCAGCUCGUGUCGUGAGAUGUUGGGUUAAGUCCCGCAACGAGCGCAACCCUUGUUCACUGUUGCCAGCACGUUAUGGUGGGGACUCAGUGGAGACCGCCGGGGUCAACUCGGAGGAAGGUGGGGAUGACGUCAAGUCAUCAUGCCCCUUAUGUCCAGGGCUUCACGCAUGCUACAAUGGCUGGUACAGAGAGUGGCGAGCCUGUGAGGGUGAGCGAAUCUCGGAAAGCCGGUCUCAGUUCGGAUUGGGGUCUGCAACUCGACCUCAUGAAGUCGGAGUCGCUAGUAAUCGCAGAUCAGCAACGCUGCGGUGAAUACGUUCCCGGGGCU
rnacentral:rRNA from 1 species